rnacentral:rRNA from 1 species
GACGAACGCUGGCGGCGUGCUUAACACAUGCAAGUCGAACGGAAAGGCCCUGCUUUUGUGGGGUGCUCGAGUGGCGAACGGGUGAGUAACACGUGAGUAACCUGCCCUUGACUUUGGGAUAACUUCAGGAAACUGGGGCUAAUACCGGAUAGGAGCUCCUGCUGCAUGGUGGGGGUUGGAAAGUUUCGGCGGUUGGGGAUGGACUCGCGGCUUAUCAGCUUGUUGGUGGGGUAGUGGCUUACCAAGGCUUUGACGGGUAGCCGGCCGGAGAGGGUGACCGGCCACAUUGGGACUGAGAUACGGCCCAGACUCCUACGGGAGGCAGCAGUGGGGAAUAUUGCACAAUGGGCGGAAGCCUGAUGCAGCAACGCCGCGUGCGGGAUGACGGCCUUCGGGUUGUAAACCGCUUUCGCCUGUGACGAAGCGUGAGUGACGGUAAUGGGUAAAGAAGCACCGGCUAACUACGU